GGGGAAUAUUGCGCAAUGGGGGGAACCCUGACGCAGCAACGCCGCGUGGAGGAUGAAGGCCUUCGGGUUGUAAACUCCUGUCUUCGCUGACGAUAAUGACGGUAAGCGAGGAGGAAGCCACGGCUAACUACGUGCCAGCAGCCGCGGUAAUACGUAGGUGGCGAGCGUUGUCCGGAAUUACUGGGCGUAAAGGGUGCGCAGGCGGAAACUUAAGUCAGAUGUGAAAUACCCGGGCUUAACCUGGGAAUGGCAUUUGAAACUGGGUUUCUAGAGUGCAGGAGAGGAAAGCGGAAUUCCUAGUGUAGCGGUGAAAUGCGUAGAUAUUAGGAAGAACACCAGUGGCGAAGGCGGCUUUCUGGACUGUAACUGACGCUGAGGCACGAAAGCGUGGGGAGCAAAC
rnacentral:rRNA from 1 species